UUUAGUGGCGGACGGGUGAGUAACACGUGGGUAACCUGCCCGGAAGUGGGGAAUACCUCGGGGAAACUCGGGCUAAUACCGCAUAACAUCUUCGGGACGAAAGUCCUGGCGAUCAAAGCGGGGUCGCAAGAUCUCGCGCUACCGGAUGGGCCCGCGCCCGAUUAGCUAGUUGGUGAGGUAACGGCUCACCAAGGCUUCGAUCGGUAACCGGCCUGAGAGGGCGAUCGGUCACACCGGAACUGAGACACGGUCCGG
rnacentral:rRNA from 1 species